CAUCCUCCACAUUCUUUUCCUUUCUGCCAGCUUGAUGCAGACAGGCACAGUGAUCUUGGAAGUCAAGGCUGAAGUGAAGUCACAAGUUGGAAGGACCCUAAAUCUCUGAAUCACCACUGAUGAGGAACACCCAUUCGGGCUUCACAAUAAAGCAAACACAUAUCAUGUUAUAGCUGUUGUACAUCAUUGGCUGUGUUGAUUAUAGCCACUAGUAGUAUACCUAAUAUACAGUUUUCCAAGAAAUUCAUUAGGUCAGUGAUUCUCCAUACAGGUAUAGGGUGGAGAGAAAAAAAAAUGGAUAGAGUUGGAAGUAUCAUAGCUCCCUAGGAAACCUUUUCAUCUGCAUACUCUGAUCCUCCUUUGCCUUACAGAUUCUUAUUCAAACCCCUAGCAUGUUAAGCCAGGUAGGGUGGGGGCAAAUGUUAUAGAAGAUCAGUAUGUCAAGGAGACUGAGAAAAGGGGAAUUUACAUAACUUGCUCAAAGGCACACAGCUAGGAAUUGACAAAGCCAAGAUUUAGACAUGGGUAGUUUCACUCCAGCGCCCACAUUUGUAACGACCAGGUUAGCCUAUCUCAACUCCUGCUUGCCACAGUUUGAGAACUUUGUCUUUGCUGAAUUUCUUUAAUGUGGUGAACUCUGGAUUGUCUGAAGGACAAUUUCUACUUGACAGUUUAUCUGCAAUAACAUCCUAAAAUUAAUUUACUAUCUCCAUCCAACAACUUUACAACUUAUUUCCUCUUGAUAAAAGUGAAUGUUGUUGUCAGGGACAGAUUUAGGAGGCAGUAUCUACUGGGGAGCAUAUCACUGUACACUCCAAAGCAGUAUCCCUGACUUUGAGCUAUCUUGCUACUGCUUCCUUACUUAACCUGGUUAGUUGAGAAUUGACUAUCCAUGAAAGAGAAAUGGUUUGUUCUAGCACUAGAAGCGUGUUGCUGCAGCUAAGCCUAUAUAUCCAAAUGGCAUGUCUCAGGGAACCACUGAAUCACUGGCAAUACCCCCACACCUUUUAAUGGGUUCUUGUGGAGCACAGUGGUUAAAAAUUUAGGCUUAGAGCCACACUACUGGGGUUCAAACCUGAGUUCCUCCAUUGACAAGCUUUUACCAUGGGCAAACAUUUCCCUUUGUUUAUAAAUGGGAUGGAUGGACAGAUGGAUGGGCGAAUGAUAAUGAUGACAGUCAUUUUCUAGAGUUGUUAGAGGUUUAAUAAUACAUAAAAACACACAAAUUUUUCUAUAAAUAUUCACUAUAGUUAUUAUUUUAAAGACUAUUGAGUUAAACAACUAAAAAAUGAAGGCCCAAAGGAUCAGUUUCACUCUGGAGGGUCUCUAGUAAUAUAUAUAUCAUAUGUAUAUAUAUGACAUAUAUAUAUUAAUUGUUGAAGACAAAAUGGACAAGGCAGCAUUUUGGAUGAGGAAACAUAGAAACUAGUAAAACAAGGUGCAAAUCCUGCUUCUGAGACUAGCAGUCUGGCCUUUAGCAAAUCAUAAAAUUGUCGUGAUGCUAUUUCUUCACGCAUAAGGUAAAUUAAUAAAUGUGGAGAUUUUCCUUACAUGUCAACUCUUUAUGCAUAUUUUCUUCUGUAUGUUGCUUAUUUAUAUGGAACACAUUUUCCCAUGCCAUUGUUAAGCUAAGUUUAAUUGUUGGUAAAUUCAACAACUCUGCUAUCUAGGGAAGAAUAAAAAUGAUCUCAUUUGGAAAUUAUCAAGAAUUUUCUUUCUCGACUUCUUUUAUUUUAUUUUUUUAAUUUUUUUUAAUUGUUAUUUCACCAAUACAAUUUUUUUUUCUACUGUACAGCAUGGUGACCCAGUUACACAUACAUGUAUACAUUCUUUUUUCUCACAUUAUCAUGCUUCAUCAUAAGUGACUAGACAUAGUUCCCAGUGCUACACAGCAGGAUCUCAUUGCUAAUCCAUUCCAAAGGCAAUAGUCUACAUCUAUUAACCCCAAAUUCCCAAUCCACCCCACUCCCUCCCCCCCGCCUUGGCAACCACAAGUCUAUUCUCCAAGUCCAUGAGUUUCUUUUCUGUGGAAAGGUUCAUUUGUGCCAUAUAUCAGAUUCCAGAUAUAAGGGAUAUCAUAUGGUAUUUGUCUUUCUCUUUCUGACUUACUUCACUCAGUAUGAGAGUCUCUAGUUCCAUCCAUGUUGCUGAAAAUGGCAUUAUUUUGUUCCUUUUUAUGGCUGCCUUCUCGACUUCUUCAAAGGAUAAAGAGCAAAAUAUUCAGACUUUCAACUUUUCACCUUCCAUCCACAUCUAUCCUACCUGGAGUUGACUGACUAACUGACUCUACCUGGGGGCAUAUACUUAUGGCUGUUGCCAUAAUUCCCCAUAUCUCCCAACUAGUACACCAUUUUUAGGUGAGAAAAAUUAUUUAGUUACAUUCAUUCUUUAUUAUUAUUUUAUUUAUUUAAAACAUUAUAUAUGCUUAGAUCCUGUGAAGUAACAUUUCACACUGAAAGAAAUUGGAACUCCUUUGAGAAAUAAUUGGGGUAAAGAAAAUGCAAGAUAAAUCUAGAAUAAUUUUGGUCAGAAAAUGAGGAAGUGAGGGAAAUAUAAUGUAGAAAUGUCACAAAAGGUACAGGAGUGGGUUUGAAGGGGUUCCAAAGGACAAAUCUGGGACAAUUUGAGAAUAAAAAUAAAUAAUGAAUAACAAAUAAUAGAAUCUAUGACAGCCUAGAGUUCACAGUGAUUUGAGUAAAUGAAAAGUAAAUGAGGGAGAAGGAAAAGUUCCUCUCUACAAUAGAAUGCAAAUGUAGAAAAAUUAGUUUAAAAUCACCAUUUGCAACUAUCAUAGCAAUAAUAGGUUUGAUCAAGAAUUAUUAAUACAUGCUAAUAAAAAUGAAAAUUAUGAUGAAGAGCAGGGUAUUUAAAUAAUAUCAAAGUAUCUCCCUACAAACUAUGUAUAAACUACAAAGGAAAAAUAGCAAUUUUAUAAGAGGAAACCUGAGUCACCACCUUAGCCAGUUUACAUCACAAAAUUGGCAUCUUCUCAUUCUUGAUGUGAUUCACUAAGAAGGAUGCAAUAUGACCUCUGUGGUGUCCCUGCCAAAAUGCAUAACCUGAAUCCAAUUAUGAGGGCAUACCAGAUAGAUCCAAAUUUAGGAACAUUCUGCAAAAGAGCUGGCCUGUACACUUUAAAAAAAAUUCAAGGCUGUAGAAGACAAAUAAGGCUGAGUCAGUAUUACACAUUAAAAGAAACUAAGAUGGGGAGUGACAACUAAAUGCAAUUGGGGGUCCUGGGUUGGAACCCGGAUUGGGGAAGGAGGGUGUACGACUGGCACAAUUUCCAUAUGGACUAUAGACUAGGUAAUAGUAUUAUGUUUAAUGUUAAAUUUCAUGGUAUUGGUAAUUAUACUGCCAUUGUAUGAAGAAUGUCCUUGAUCUUAGGAAAUACCUACUGAAAUAUCUAGGGGUAAAGAGGCAUGAUGGCUAUUUACCAUCAGUUGGCUCAGAAAACUGUAUGUACACCUAUAUCUAUAUCUAUCAAUCUUUCUGAGAGAAGCGAUAAAGCAAAUAGAUAGAAACAGUAAUAAAACACUAACAUCUCUAUACCUUUUACUUAGAGAACAUAUGAAUGUUCUUUGCAUUAUUAGUUCAACUGUAUCAAAAUUAAAAGUUACUAAUAAGUAAACAAAUAAAAACCUAUUAUGCCCCUUACACUUUUUUUUGAAAAUGCAUGUUAUAUAAUGCAUUUGGAAAAAUGUUGGAUAUUAACCUAUAUAACUAUAUCUAGACUUUUUACGUUCAACCAGAAUAUAGUUAGUUCUUCCUUAUAAGUCUUUCUAUUACAAUUUGCAUUUUUCUGGUCUAUAACAUAUUUCUCAGCAUCCAAUAGGAGCACUUCUGUUAGGACUAUGCAUUUGGUUUCUAAAGUUAGUUGGCACUUACAGUGCAACUCCACUUUGUUCAUACUAGAAGCCUGCUAAGGAAUAGAGGCACAAUGUAAUUAUCUCAUUUAAUUCAAUCCUUUCAGAAUUUCUAUGAACUAGUCAUCAGGUCUUCCUUUCACAGAUAUGGAAACCCAAGGUUUAAAGACAUGAAAUAUUUUGCCUUGGUCUUGGCCCCAAGGCCACACCCUAACAAGUGGUGGGGCAGCUUUCCAGCCCUGGACUGAACUUACUGCCCUGCACCAUACCCCCUGCUCUGCUAAAUCAGGAUGCUCUACCUGGAACUGAAACUUGCUCCAAGUUUGUGAGGAGAAAGCUGUCAUUUCAAAACAUACAAAUGUCUUCUGUUUUGAAAGAAUAUACUAUUGUUGAAAUCUAAUAAAAAAUGGCAUGAGAACUUAUUUAUAAAACAGAAACAAAUCCACAAAUUUCAAAACCAAUCUUACAGUUACCAUAGGUGAAACCAUUGGGGGGAAGAAAGAAUUGGGAGAGUGGGAAUAACAUAUACACACUACUGUGUAAAAUAGAUGAUUAACAAGAACCUACUGCAUAGCACAGGAAAAUCUACCUAAUAGUUUGUAAUAACCUAAAUGGGGAAAAAUGAAUGGAUAUAGACAGGUAGAUUUGCCUUUUUAGGGCUGCACCCAUGGCAUAUGGAGUUUCCCAGGCUAAGCAGUGAACCAGAGCUAUAGCUGCUGGCCUGUACCACAGCCACAGCAAUGCCAGAUCUGAGCCACAUCUGCAACCUACACCACAGCUCACAGCAAUGCCAGAUCCUUAACCCACUGAGCAAGGCCAGGGAUCGAACCUGCAUCCUCAUGGAUGCUAGUCAGAUUCAUUUCCGCUGAGCCAUGACGGGAACUCCCAAAUGGAUAUAUUUAUAUGUUUGACUUAUUCACUUUGCUGUACACUUGAAACUAAUACAACAUUGUAUAUCAAUUAUACGCCAAUAAAAUUGAAUUUAAAUACACACACACACACACACACACACACACACACACACACUAUUGUUUUAACCACCAGAAUGAGUGUUAUGCUUGGAAAAAGAGGUUCCAUAAUUGGAAGUAGAGCUCUUUGAGAAGCAGAGGUCACACGAGAUUCAUAUUUUAAGUUUCACUUGAUGGACCUGGAGUAGUAUGGUGGGGUGGGUUCCCUGGGGAUACUUGAUACAUUGUUUAUGAUAUAGACAGAGUUGUAUCUCUGCAGACUGUGAGCAUAGGACUUAGAGCAAAGUGUGUGCCGUAUAAACAUUUAGUGAGUGAAUGAACAUGGCUUUAGGUUACCAUGGGCCUUCAAAUGGUGGUGAGUCCUUGUGGGAAUAUUUCAAUCUUGAAUGAUCAGUUGUUUGCAGGACAUCAGGUACUGAGACCAAGGAGAUUUCAAGGCUUUGCCGGCCUGAUUGCCAACUCUCAAGGGAGAAAAGACUGUGAUAUGGAAACUUGACUGAGUGGGCUCAGAGGUUUAGCCUGAUCUGAUUUGAACAUGAGAGUAUGUUAAAAGGAAUAACCCCAAUAUUUGGAACUAAAAACAAAAGGAGCGUCGUUUCUUUCUGUGAUUUGGAAGAGUGAGAGGAAAGGACAGCUAUUGUUUAUGCAUCUUUGCUACUGAAUAUUCCCAAUACCAAUCAUGAUGAGAAAAGGAAAACACUUAGGGGGUGAUGGGAGAAGGAAGGCAAGCCUAAACCAAGGUAAGGGAAGAUGUUUUAUCCCAAAUGGGCGACAAAGUAAAUGGACUAAGAGAUGUAGCCCUUAAUCCCAGGAGUCUAGACCUGCCUAAAGCACUCUUGGGUGUUAGAAAGUGUAUGGCUUUGUUUCACGAGGUAUCCAGGAAUGAGCUGGACUGGAAAUGGUCCCAUAGCUGACCAGAAAAGUGUCUCUCUAACUGGGAAGGGAAGAAGCCCUGCAGCUGAGCCUAGAGGCAGCUUUUAGAGGAAUUCCAUGAGACCCGACAAGGGUCUAGGGGCUUUGCAGCAGCCUAAGAACAAGUUGUAAAGCUUUGUGCUUUUUGUCUAUUAAUGCAGAGCUUUCAGAAAAGUCUUUCUCUGUGAUUUAGCCAAAGUUCAAUGAUGUGUGUGUGUUUGGGGGUAGGUAGGUCAAGGAAAGGGGUUCCAACCAUUCUUAGUUAUGAGUGAAAGAAGAGAGAAGUGUGACCUUGCUGAAGUCUCCCUGGUGGUAGGAACACAGCCCAGAAAGAGGCUGAGGACUGGGAACCCAGAAGGAGGCUCUCAAUCUUAGUGAAAGUAAUGGUUUACAGGCAAACAAUGCUUCUGGGGGGCCAGCUAGGUGAGCAGGUAAAUUAACAAGGUGAGUUGGGAGAGUGUGUAGGAUGUCAUACACCUGAAGACUCCUGUGAGAAACUGAAUGAGACUUGGGCUGGUGUUCUGAAAGAUGAAAUUAAAAGACAAAAAAAAGAAUUAAUUCCAUCUUAGCUAUAGUCCAGCUUGUGGGAUUGGAGGGGUGGAACAUCAAGACUUAGAGGAAAUUAUGUAAAUUUGUUUACAUUGAUACUCAUAUUUAAGGAAACACUAGUUACUCUAAUUUUGAACAACACAGAGUAAUUCUGAUCUAAUAAAUUGUUUCAAUUGUGCUGAAAUACAAAUGCCUCAUUAUU
rnacentral:lncRNA from 1 species